GACGGGGGGUCCUAGCGUUGUUCGGAAUCAUUGGGCGUAAAGCGGGCGUAGGUGGCUAUGUAAGUCAGGAGUGAAAGCCCUGGGCUCAACCCAGGAAGUGCUUUUGAAACUGCGUAGCUUGAGUGUGGAAGAGGAUAGUGGAAUUCCUGGUGUAGUGGUGAAAUACGUAGAUAUCAGGAGGAACACCGGCGGCGAAGGCGGCUAUCUGGUCCAACACUGACACUGAGGCCCGAAAGCGUGGGGAUCAAAC
rnacentral:rRNA from 1 species